rnacentral:rRNA from 1 species
UCCUUCGGGAUCAGUGGCGCACGGGUGAGUAACGCGUGGGAACCUGUCGCGGAGUGGGGAACAACCGCUGGAAACGGCGGCUAAUACCGCAUACUCCCUGAGGGGCAAAGGCUUUCGAGCCGCUUUGCGAGGGGCCCGCGUCUGAUUAGCUUGUUGGUGGGGUAAUGGCCUACCAAGGCUUCGAUCGGUAGCUGGUCUGAGAGGAUGAUCAGCCACACUGGGACUGAGACACGGCCCAGACUCCUACGGGAGGCAGCAGUGGGGAAUAUUGGACAAUGGGGGCAACCCUGAUCCAGCAAUGCCGCGUGAGUGAUGAAGGCCUUAGGG